rnacentral:rRNA from 1 species
AAUUGGAAUGAGAACAAUUUAAAUCCCUUAUCGAGGAUCCAUUGGAGGGCAAGUCUGGUGCCAGCAGCCGCGGUAAUUCCAGCUCCAAUAGCGUAUAUUAAAGUUGUUGCAGUUAAAACGCUCGUAGUCGGACCUCGGAGCGCCCCCACGGGCCGGGCUUUUGCCUUGUGCCUGUGGGAGUUUGUCUCCUUUUGUCGGGACGCGGUGUGUGGGGACUUGAUUGUUUYUGCGCGUUAAACCUGCGGGCCGACCGUUUACUGUGAARAAAGUAAAGUGUUCAAAGCAGGCCAAUGCCUUGAAUAUGUGAGCAUGGAAUAAUAGAAUAGGACUUGGGCUCUAUUUUGUUGGUUUCCGGUGACCAAGUAAUGAUUAAUAGGGAUGGUUGGGGGCAUUCSUAUUUCAUUGUCAGAGGUGAAAUUCUUGGAUUGAUGGAAGACGUACAACUGCGAAAGCAUCUGCCAUGGAUGUUUUCAUUGAUCAAGAACGAAAGUUAGGGGAUCGAAGACGAUCAGA